rnacentral:rRNA from 1 species
UGCUUAACACAUGCAAGUCGAACGAUACCUUGGGGCUUGCUCCAAGGAUAAGUGGCGCACGGGUGAGUAACACGUAGAUAAUGUUCCCGUUGGUUUGGAAUAACCUGCCGAAAGGCGGGCUAAUACCAAGUAAGCUCCCUUGAGGUUCGCCUUGGGGGAGGAAAGCAGGGCAACUUGCGCCGACGGAUCAGUCUGCGUCCCAUCAGCUAGUUGGUGAGGUAACGGCUCACCAAGGCUACGACGGGUAGCUGGUCUGAGAGGAUGAUCAGCCACACUGGGACUGAGACACGGCCCAGACUCCUACGGGAGGCAGCAGUGGGGAAUAUUGGACAAUGGGCGCAAGCCUGAUCCAGCAAUGCCGCGUGAGUGAUGAAGGCCUUCGGGUUGUUUUCUC